rnacentral:lncRNA from 1 species
CCUGUGUAAAAAGCAAUAGCAAUGUUGUGAAAUGGUAAUCUGUGAAUGACUUUGAUGUUCUCAGCUAUACAAUAAAUAAUCCAUGACUACUCUGAAGAACCUAUGAUGAAAAAUCCUGUGCAUACCCAGAGAAGAACUGAUUGUAUCUCAAUUCAGAUUGAAGCAUACUUUUUCUUUUAUUUUAUUUUUUAACUUUAUUUUUCUUGAGGAUUUUUUUAGGGUGGAAGAUCUAUGUUUUCUUUCACAACAUGACUUUUUUCAGGAAUUGUUUGCAUAAAGAUAAGUGGUUUCUUUUUCCCCCGCAGGUGAAACACGGGCUUUUAUGUACAACGGGUACCAGACGGGAGGGGGGAGGGCAUCAGUAAUAAAAUACAUUCUCUAUUCCUCGUGGCAGCCUUCUCCCCCACCCCGAAGACCCCGCCCUGGCUGCCCCCAGUGGGCAGCUGACCAUAAAUUACAAAAUAAGGGAGAAACACCUCGAGGAGAGGGAAGGGGAAGAGAGGGGAGGGAGGCCAGGACUUAUUGCUCUGAUUGGGAGCAGGACAGGCACUUGAGCGGCUGCCAGUGAAGGGAUGAGCCCAGGGACGGGAGGGGGCAGAGGCCAUGACUGGAGGUCCCGGGGGGGGGGUUAGGGAGAGAGGGCUGGAGGGAAGCCCUAGGGAGCAGUUCCUGAGAUGGUCCAGGGCAGUGGAUGCUGGUGAUCUGUGGGGAUAAGGAAGAGGAUAGGGUGGGGGCCCCCCUCUCCCGCCCAGCCCCCCCUUCAGUCCAUGUCCAUGGGCUCGGCCCGGGGACAGAGAUCUGGGCCAUCACCAGGGGGUGUGGAGAACGCGCUGGCCGCACCAGGUCGGGUUGGGGACCGCCGCACCUUGUCCUGCCGGUGAUAAAAUAGAACAUAGGCCGCUUUGGACUCAACCUGGCUCUCGGACACAGGGGAGACGCUGCUGUCAUCGAAGUAAUGCCACUGGCCGCUGUCCUUGUUGCGGGCAAACGUGGUGUAAUGCCCGUCUCGCAGGCCCCCGUAGUGGUUCGAGACGGCGAUGAGGUCAUAUUUGCAGGGUAUCGGGUCGGCCUCAGUCCUUGGCUUGAUGAUGAACUCGGAGAAAUCGAGGUCCCGGAUGGGAAACUCCACCAGCGUGUCCAGCUUCUCCCGGGAGAACUUGGUGUAGGAGAACCGCUUCAGGUGGAUGAUGAGGGCCUCGGGCAGGGACCACAAAUCCAGCUUCUUGGUGGCCAGCUGGUGGCGCUUACAGGUCGGGCAGUACCAGGGAUUCUCUUCUUCCAAAGUCUCCACGGUGGUGAAGAGCUCGAUGCACUCCUGAAGGCGCACAGGGGCCUUCCGCAGCACAUAGCCCAUGCAGUCGUGCUUCACGUAGCCCUCGGCUUCCACCUCAUUGUAGUAGCGCUUCUUCAUGUCGGGCUCCCAGUCGAUGGCGAUGUACGGCUGGGAGUUAAAGGAGACUCCGUUGGCAUCCUCGGCAAAGCCUCUGCGGUCACUGGUUCCGUUGGAAUUCACAGUGUGGAGGCUGAAGAGGACUUUCCGCCGGGGCCUCCGCCGCCGCCGCCGCCGCCGCCUCCUUCUUGGCUUCUUGGCUGGGCCGGGAGGAGGACCGGGAGGGGGGCUGCGAGGAGGACCCUCCCCCUCUACCUCCCCCACCUGAACCCUGAUGGCUGCACCCGAGCCCUCCGUAGAGGGCCGGGCAUCUAAGCUAGCCUCCCCCCUCUCCUCUUCUUCGUCUUGCUCUCCUUCGCUCAGCCUGCUGGGGCGCUUAUACAGAUCCUCAUCGUCCUCCUCCUCUUCCUCCUCCUCGUCGUCUUCGCUGUUGUCUUCCUCCUCGUCGUCCUCCUCUUCCUCUUCCUCCUCCUCCUCCUCCUCGUCGUCUUCGUCGUCGUCAUCCUCCUCCUCCUCCUCCUCCUCCUCGUCGUCCGAUUCGGGUCGGGUGACGUAGCGCGAAAGGCGGUGUAGCAGAAUAUGGUAGAGGGCAUCCCAGGAGAGCCGGUCGCGUGGCACGGAUACCAGUAGAGGGUGUCCGAAAAGCAUGAGGCCGUAAUAGGAGUCACUGUAGUCCCGGGCUGGGGUCCGCUCCCGCAGGUAGACGGGCAGCACCACGUCCUCUCCCGUGCCCUCUCCGCCGCCAGCCCCUCCGGACACCUCGUACACAAAGAUGUCGUCCCGAUCCAGGAUGCAGCUCAGAGACUCCUCCAGCUGGUAGAUCUUGUAGAAGCGGUGGCUGAACACGUCAGCCACCAUCAUCCGGUCCGGAGAGACACCCGUGUGCUUGGCCAGGGCGAAGCAGAGGUCCGACACUUUCCCCGCCUUGGGCACGACCAGGCGAUGCUGCUCGGGUUUUCGGCGUGGGUCCAUAGAAACGAAGAAGACCUCCAUGCCACGUUCUUUGCUCACAGGCAGAGGAACACUCAGGUAGCAGAAGGGAUCGAAGGUGACAGACACCUUUCCACACUCAGGGCAGACCAGCGUGGACUUGAAGAGCCCAUGGAAGAUGUCCACGAUUACAGAAUCAUUCCGGCGCUUAUGAUUUCGCCAGGCUUCAUCUGCCACCUCCUGGUCAGGCCGCCCGGCGGCAUCCCGAAGCUCCACGUACUCCUUCUUCUUGACCCGGUUCAGGUCCUCGUGCAGCCCAUCGAGCAGGAAGGAGAGCAGCUCCUGGGAGUCGUGCUGCUGGUAGCCGAGGAACUGGGAGGCGAAGUGGCCCACCUUUGUCUUGAACAUCCUGGGGACCACAGCACGGUGGUGGCCAGACCAGGCUUGCUUGACCAGGUCGGCGUAGGCCUCGGCGAUCUCGCCUUUCAUGCCGAGGGGAUUGCAGAAGUUCAGCUCCUUUAAGUAAUGGUUGUGGAGGAAGUAUUCCGUCAGCGGGGGGACGUUGCUCAGGCACUGCAGGGCUGAGUUCAUGAAGCACGUGUUGCCCAGGUUGGUGAGACCACAGACGCCUGGCUGGCCCCGGAAGCCUUCGUCCUCAUCUGGCGAGUUUUUCAUGAUGUGAGGCCAGGAGCUGGGCCAUGUGCCAUCUUUGUUGCGCGUCUCCAUGAUGAUGACCUGACCAGGCCCAAGGCAGGCGUCUAACACGGACAUGUGUAUGUUCCUCAGUCUCUCGCAGGAGCCAUCUGCAUUCUUCACCCACAGGCGUGUCUCCUCAUCUGGCCCCACUGAAAACUGCUCCCUGGCUGUAUGAAGGACCAGCUCAAUAGGAUCUGCACGGCUGAACUGAGCAGGCCGGGAUGUUUCCAUGUCAUUGUGCUGACACAGGAGCAACUCCACCAGAUAGACUUCUACCUUGUGGGUGCUGGGCAGCUCUACCACCUUCCGCUCGAUGGGGGGCUGCCCGGGCUCCAGUCCAUACCACUUAACCAGAAGAUGCCAAGCCAUGGCUGGCAGCAGCACGUAGUCCUCGCCUUCCACCAACCGCUCCUUCAGACGCCGGGUUUCUUGGUCUUCGAAGAGCUCCGCAUUGUUGACAGGCCCGGGGAAGGCGCUAGAGUCCUGGUCUCCAGCUCGGACAUAGGCCUCCCACUGCUGGUACCAGUGUUGUUCCACCAAGAACCAGCUCUCCCCUGGUCGCAGGGGCCGCUCCCGGCCGCUCUCCUCAUCCUCCACCAGCCGCUGCUGGAUCUCCAAACUCGGUACCGACCCCACCCCCGGGCCCGACUCCGCCCCCGGCGCCGCUGCGGCCUCCACGGCCGCCAUCGCAGCCCGAGCACCCUCAGCCCGAUAGGUGGUUUCUUGAUGGAUCCUGGGGGUGGGGAUAAGGGAAAGAAUCUGUAACUCAAAAGUUUUAAAAACAAAUGUAAAAAAAGACUGACAUUUAAAUGAGGGAAAAUAUUAAACUAAUUUAUUUUUAAAAAAGAAAGAAAUGUGGACAUGGAGUCCUAGUGAACUCUUUUUAUGACACAAAUAAUGAUGUUGAUAUCUAAGCCAGGAU